rnacentral:rRNA from 1 species
CGGGGAAUAUUGCACAAUGGGGGAAACCCUGAUGCAGCGACGCCGCGUGAGCGAAGAAGGCUUUCGAGUCGUAAAGCUCUGUCCUAUGAGAAGAUAAUGACGGUAUCAUAGGAGGAAGCCCUGGCUAAAUACGUGCCAGCAGCCGCGGUAAUACGUAUGGGGCGAGCGUUGUCCGGAAUUAUUGGGCGUAAAGGGUACGUAGGCGGUUUUUUAAGUCAGGUUUCAAAGCGUGGAGCUUAACUCCAUUAAGCACUUGAAACUGAAAGACUUGAGUGAAGGAGAGGAAAGUGGAAUUCCUAGUGUAGCGGUGAAAUGCGUAGAUAUUAGGAGGAAUACCGGUGGCGAAGGCGACUUUCUGGACUUUUACUGACGCUAAGGUACGAAAGCGUGGGGAGCAAACAGG